UGAGAGCCAUGUCAGGCUGGCAGAAG
rnacentral:piRNA from 1 species